CCCAGUCGCUGGGGGAAAAUCAGAAGUGGCGACCACCAGAUAAGGAAACAGUCAAAUGGAAAGAUAAAUGAUGCUUUUGGAUGGGAAGACUCAGUAUCAUAAAGAUCUCAAUUUUCUAACAUAUUUCUUGGAUUUGUUUGCUUACUCAGCUGGAGCAAAGGCAGAGAGAUAAAAGUAAAGGGGGAAAAGGAAGACUGGACCCAACAAAGCCAAAUCCAACCUACAGAAGACAAGAGUCUGCAUUUCCAGCUGUCAACAUCGUCUAUGAUCUGCAAUGACUAAGAAUUUUCACCAUAGAACCUUUUCCAAGAAAAAUGCACAUUUACACCAAAUUGCAAUUUCAGACAGAACUCGGAACCUCAGAAACCCAUCGAUGAGUAUUCCAGGGUCUCGGGGCCACCAAGAAUUCCUGGACUAGAGGACUUUAUAGCUUUCCUGAAUGAAGGAAGUUCUUACUCAUUUCCCUUGAA